rnacentral:rRNA from 1 species
UACGUAGGCAGCGAGCGUUGUUCGGAAUUACUGGGCGUAAAGAGUGUGUAGGCGGUGCUCUAAGUUCGGUGUGAAAUCUCCCGGCUUAACUGGGAGGGUGCGCCGGAAACUGGAGUGCUCGAGCGUGGGAGAGGCAAGCGGAAUUCCUGGUGUAGCGGUGAAAUGCGUAGAUAUCGGGAGGAACACCAGUGGCGAAGGCGGCGACCUGGGCGGACACUGACGCUGAGACGGCGAAAG